UCCGUUGGUGAACCAGCGGAGGGAUCAUUACAGAGUUGCAAAACUCCCAACCCUUUGUGAACGAACCUUAGCAGUUGCUUCGGCGGGAGGCUCUUCAGGGAGCACACCGCCGGAGGAAUACAAACUCUUGAAUUUUUGGCAUCUCUGAGUAGCUUAUAAAUAAGUUAAAACUUUCAACAACGGAUCUCUUGGUUCUGGCAUCGAUGAAGAACGCAGCGAAAUGCGAUAAGUAAUGUGAAUUGCAGAAUUCAGUGAAUCAUCGAAUCUUUGAACGCACAUUGCGCCCGCUAGUAUUCUGGCGGGCAUGCCUGUUCGAGCGUCAUUUCAACUAUCAAGCCCCAGGCUUGUGUUGGAGCCCUGCGGCCGUCCGCAGCCUCCUAAAAGCAUUGGCGGGCUCGCUAUCACACCGAGUGCAGUAGUUUACUCUUCGCUCAGGGCGUGUGGCGGGUUCCAGCCGUGAAACCCCCCCAUUUCUAAAGGUUGACCUCGGAUCAGGUAGGAAUACCCGCUGAACUUAAGCAUAUCAAUA
rnacentral:rRNA from 1 species